rnacentral:lncRNA from 1 species
AUGCAAUGUCUAGCCACAGUCUCUUUUCGUUACCCGGGAAAGGAGCGCCGCCGCCGCCGCCGCCGCCUUCUCCCUGGUCUCUUUUCGUUACCCGGGAAAGGAGCCGCGCCGCCGCCGCCGCCUUCUCCCUGUUGCGCUGGCCCCUGCUUACUACAGGAGACUGUUUACAAGAUCACACAACACGAGCCCUCCACACACACACCCCCGAGCAGAUUUGACCGCUUUAUAAUCACAAUGUUUGAAGAAGGGCGAAAGGGGGGGGGAAGCGGGCUCCCGUUCCCUCCCUUGACGUCUGUUCCAAACGGUGAUCCCAGAAAAGAAUGGUUGAUUGCAAUACCUGUUGAGGACUAUAAGGAACGCGCUGGGUUAAUUAGUCCAGAAUCAAAGAGACCGAUUAGCUGGAGACCGGAAGAACAACGCGUCUCGUACAGAUGAAGAUUCAGUACAAAUCAAGUGUCGUGAACAGGCUGCUGUCCCCUUUUAUUCAGGAUGGUACACUUCUGCAGAAUACAAAUUUCAUCUGUUUCUGGUGAGUCCUUUGUCUGGUUUGUAUUGGUUCUUUGACAUUUGCAUCUGGCAACCAUAUUCUUUCCUCCUGCCUAUCAGAAGAAGUUGGACAUUAUCUCUUCUUACCCAACAUGUGGUCAACUUAGGGAAGGG